GAUGAAGAACGCAGCAAAAUGCGAUACUUGGUGUGAAUUGCAGAAUCCCGUGAACCAUCGAGUUUUUGAACGCAAGUUGCGCCCGAAGCCAUUAGGCCGAGGGCACGCCUGCCUGGGCGUCACACGUCGUUGCCCCCCCAUCUACUCCUUCGGGAUUGCGGGGGGCGGAUGAUGGCCUCCCGUGCGCCUCGUCGCGCGGUUGGCCUAAAUGCCAAGUCCUCGGCGACGCACGCCACGACAAUCGGUGGUUGCGAAACCUCGGUUGCCUGUCGUGUGCGGUCGUCGCGCAUCGAGGGCUCGAAAAAAUUGCCGGGCUUCGGCUCGACUUUCAACGCGACCCCAGGUCAGGCGGGGUUACCCGCUGAAUUUAAGCAUAUCAAUAAGCGGAGGA
rnacentral:misc_RNA from 1 species